rnacentral:lncRNA from 1 species
AUUUUUAUGAUUUAAUCUUUUUCACCCAUAAAACGUAAAUAUAAGGAAUAAUUUUGAAUGGUGACAAAUAAGGGGAAGUAACUCUAGUUCAGUUUGUAAACCAAAUUAUGGUGCAAUUUAUUUACGACCUAAAGCUAAGGUAAUUGGUGUUAAUUAACAGUGUGUUUGACACCAAAGCUGUCAAGUGAAGCCAUGCACUUAAUGGGUCACUUAAUUUGACAGUUUACAUAGCUAGAUGAACUUCCUGUUCAUGGAAGAAUUACGAAUUUGCCGGUAUUUCAAAGGAAUAUUACUUAUGAAAUCAAUCUCAAGGCUAAGAAAUACGGGUGAAAUCGGGUCAUUUUCGGAAUUUCCGGGUUAUUUCAAUGACCCGGCGGGUGUUCCGGGUGAUCCCUCAGAAUUGUGAAAAUCUCGGGUCACACCCGCAGAAUACGGGUCAGUUGACAGGUAUGUUUGACCUUAAAAAAAAGCAUGUUUAAGGGAAUAUAUAAAAGUAAUUUCAUUGUUUCAGUAAAUUUGUUAAAUC